UGUGUGUGUGUGUGUUUUAAAGUGAUCCUGAAGACUUUGAGAGUUUAAGGUUUGCAAGAGAGUGGGUCCCCAGGAGCUGGGCUUAAUUGUUGCAUAAAAUAAGUUCUGUAAAUGAUUGUUUGUCAUGAUAAUCUUCACAAAUGAAAACAACUUUUGUUUUUGAAUUAAAAAAAAAAAAAAAAAAACAUUAAAAAAUCCAUUGACCUCAGGAUGAUGGAACCAGAAGUGCUAAAAUGCUAACUCAUUUAUGGAUUUUGGUGUACACAGAUACGCCAUCCCUGCAACACUCUGUAACCAGCAGAUGUGUUGGAGUAGCAUAGGAACUGUAGUCUGCAGGAGGGUAGUUCUCCAGGGGGAGUAGGGUUGGUUAUUCCUGAGUUAAGGUUAGAACUAUGUGUCUUCGACUGGAAUGUUGUUGCAGGACCAUUAAAAGAUGUUGAUCAAGGAACACGUCCUACUUGGCAAAACUCACGGUCACCAUAUCCCGACUGCCGGGAGAGAUAGAGCUGGCAAUCGAGCCAAGGUCUUCAACACCCAGCGGAUGCCUCUGCCAUGAGCUCACUACAUUCUUGCAGAAUGACCCCUUUGUUGCCAGGCCUGCUUGGGGGCAGAGAAUGGAUUAUGGAAGGAAUGUGCAACAUUGCAACUGCAGAGCUGAUAAACUGGAGCUUGUCCCGGUGCUGUUAUCCCUUGAACCACCCCACCCUCUUCCUCUCCUAUCAGUCCAUGUGUAAAGAGGAAGAAACGGGAUGGGGAAAGGAAUUUUGUCUGACUAGGAAACAUAAUAUCACCAAUUUCAACUGAUUAUUUCAUUUAAAAAUUAAUGUGGAAGUUCUUACCAAAGUGUUUUGUUUUUUUUUACUAGUGUAACUGGACCCCAUAUUGGAAGGGAUUUUUUUUUUAAUGAGCUGCUCAUGGAUGGAGCUGGCCCUAGUCGAGAGGUCACUGUGCUCUGUAACCUUGAGACACAGUUGAGGCAUUCAUGUUCCAAUCUCUCACCCCGCUGACCUUCGUUUUUUUAAAUCAGACAUUUAUUGUUUUCAGACAUUGUUUUGCUAGUGUCUCCUUCACUUCUUCAAAUGUUACUGUUAGCUUAGUGGUGCAGUUGUGUUGGUGGAUAAAGUGGAUUUUAUUUUAGAUGGUUAUGUCAAUGUGUUUUUUUUUUUUCUAAAAGAAUGCAAAAACCUUUGUACAAAACAAAUACAAAAGACAUUAAUCAUACAAGCUGGUCAGCCUUGAACAAGGCUUUGUAAAACUAUAUCUUCAUUGUUAAAUCCAAGACUGCCAUACAGUACAUUUCUACCUUUCGUUCUUUC
ensembl:lncRNA